CCUACGGGGAGCAGCAGUGAGGGAUAUUGCACAAUGGGGGAAACCCUGAUGCAGCGACGCCGCGUGAGUGAAGAAGUAUUUCGGUAUUUAAAGCUCUAUCAGCAGGGAAAAAAAUGACAGUACCUGACCAAGAAGCCCCGGCUAACUACGUGCCAGCAGCCGCGGUACUACGUAGGUGGCAAGCGUUAUCCGGAUUUACUGGGUGUAAAGGGAGCGUAGACGGUUAUGUCAGUCUGGAGUGAAAGCCCGGGGCCAAACCCCGGGACUGCUUUGGAAACUGUGUAACUGGAGUACAGGAGGGGCAGGCGGAAUGCCUGGUGUAGCGGUGAAAUGCGUAGAUAUCAGGAGGAACACCGGCGCGCAACUGACGCUCAUGCACGAAAGCGUGGGUAUCGAACAGGAUUAGAUACCCUAGUAGUC
rnacentral:rRNA from 1 species